UUCUUCUCCCCCCACCCCCAUCUCCUCGUUACCAUCGAUUUUUUUUUCAAUAAAAAAACCUAAAUCAUGUAGCUUUCACUCCUAAAGAAAAAUCCUAAACCUAACUUCGAUAUUUCUCCUACUCCAACUCUACAAGAGAAUCAUUCCCACCUUGUUAUCAAUUGUUUGCUUAUAAAAUCCUAAAUGGUGUUAACUAACUUAACCCUAAAUACCAUUAAAAUCCAAUCAAAACUGAACCAAUUUUUGGAGUUUUCUCCUUCUUUCUUCUCCAACAACAACCUGGAUAAUCAGAAGAUCGUGUUACAAACCCUAGGUACUGAAAUAUCAUAGGGGAGCAGAGGAGGUAAGGAAAAUAAGAGAGAAUAAAGUCAAUAGAAGUGGUGACGGUGGUGUUUAUUCUUUGCCUCAUUAGAAAACGAUGAAAGAUUGGCUGUAUUGCGAACUGUUCAUGUAGGUAAAUACUCAUUCUGGUAUGAAAUUGUGUGGACGGAAUAUUGAAUGGUGGUUUUUUAUAGAACCUGAAUGUACAUUACUCGGGGCAUAGCCGUCAAAAGUGUUAUUUUGCAUGCAUUUCUGAUUUUGGUGGAUUAUUUUUAAAUUUACUGUCUACGGCAGUGUAUGCAAAAAUUUUAUCACUUCGACACACACUUGAAAUGUUUGAUUUUGGGUUUUCAUGGCUAGUAUAUGUUGACAAUAAUUAUGUUGCUUCUCUUUUUUCCUUUGAAACCUCUGAUAGACUUGGUAUGCUUGUGUUCCUGGUUAAAAGAAUAGGACAUAAUUUUGGAUGUUUCAAUAGACAAGAAAAGAUACAGGCCACUACCUAGAUAAGAGGUGUGACUCAUCCUAGUAUAUUCAUCUUUAGUGCAUACAUAUGCUAUUCAGUUCUCCGAACUCGAGAGCUGAAAUUUAUGACAGAUGACAACCCAAAUUUUGUAUUAUAUUAUCUUUUUUUCUUUGAGCGAGUAUUAUAUGAUCUAAUGACUCUUUAAUGGAAAGUAGCUAAGAAGUAAUACUGGUAUAUGUUUUCAUUUGUGUUGUUGUGCCAUUUACUGUAUUUAUUCAUGGGUUUUCAUAUGAUUUAUGCUGAUCUUGUUUGUUGUGUUGUUAGAUAUUGAUCAAAUAUAUACACAAUUAUUAUACUGUGUAACCAGAUUGGAUUCUACUGAGGUUAUAUAAAGAAUGUUUCUAGGUAAUGUAUUAAGCAUUUAAGUAAUGGGUACAUAGAUGAAUUUGUUUUUAUGAUUAAUGUUCAUAUGGUUCAUUGUUUUAUAUUCGUGUAAAUAAAUAACUGCGACUGGAUAAUGAUCAAUUAUUCACACAUAUUGAAUAGAUGUUGUUGUCUAAAAUGAAAAAUUAGUUGUUGGAAUUUCUGUUACACCGUUUUUCUUAAAGUUGCAAGAUGUGAAGUUGAUCUGUUGAUGAAACUGAAGUGGCACAUUGUUUUCAGAUUAAAGCAUCCUUAUUUCCGAAGUAACUUUGUGGGAACGAUAAGAAUGUUCUAGGCUUCUAAUAAUAAAGUCCUUGCUUUCAUAGAUUUCUUACUUCUUAAGUAGUCGUAGCUUUUGUAUUACCCCAAGGUCUAAAAUUUGGGUUCAUUUUAGAGCUCUUCUUAUCAAGGGGAUUAUAUCUGCCCAGUGAGAUCGAAGGACAAUCAAAUUGGAAUUUCUUCUUUUUUUUGCAGAAUAAGCUCGUCUUAUAGUUGAUCUGAAUUUGCAGAUGCUCAUAGGAGUUUGGUGGGAUAUACGGAUAUGAACGAUUUUACUAAGCAAGUCGAGACUGGAGGCAUGAACUGUUCCAUUUUGGAAAUAUCAAACAUUUCAUAACUCUUUAUGAUGCUCUUGAUGCUUCCAUAUUCUCCUGUUGCAGGUUUUGGCUGAAUCAGUUGACUCAGUGAGUGAGUUUGAAAAUUGGUGGCUGAGCCAAAAUCAAUGAACUUCUACAUUACACGGAGAAACCCGAGAAUUUUGUAGUACAAGCCCCUAAAAGUAGAUGACUUGUUCAAUCAUAUUUAAGUGAUAACAGUGUUUCAGAGCUUCAAGUGGUAUUAGCUUACUCUGAAGCUACAAAAUGACUAAUGAGUGCUUCAGCAGGUUUUACUCAUCUUUAAUCUUAGUUUUCAUAUUUAUAGCUAAUCUUCAACAUGUAUCCAUCUUUCUCUUCAUUCUGCAACAAAGUAAGGUUUUUUCUGCUUCUCAACUUUCAUUUAUAAACAUCUUCACAUUGAUGAACAUUGUACCUUUAUUUUUUAGUAAUGGUGUAUCACUUUGCAUAUAUCAAUUUUUACUUUUGGAAAAAGCUUAGCUUACUAUGAAGCUAUUGAAUGACUAAUAACUCGUGUUCCUUCAACAGGUCGUUCCCUACUGAUUUAUAAGACUGGAAGAUAUCAUGUAACCCUUGCUGCGAAGAGAAGUAACUUUAUACUUACGAGGCUAUAUUUCUGGGAACACAUCAAAACUCAUGAGUAGACCAAUCUGCAAGUAAAGGAAUGUUACGUCAUCCAUCUGAUUUGCUCAUUUUAAUUUUAUUAUUUACUGUUCAACAAUCAUUUGUUGGAAACUCAGCACUAGACUUGAGUUUCUGUUGGGUUUAGAUUUUUUUAUGUUGCUUGAAUGGAACCAGUUGUUUAUUGAGUGUAACAGAUUUUGACCUUGUAAUUCUUUUUAGUAAAUAAAUGAUGUUGUUAGAAUGAGUGCAGCGUAA